rnacentral:rRNA from 1 species
GAUGAACGCUGGCGGCGUGCCUAAUACAUGCAAGUCGAGCGAACGGACGAGAAGCUUGCUUCUCUGAUGUUAGCGGCGGACGGGUGAGUAACACGUGGAUAACCUACCUAUAAGACUGGGAUAACUUCGGGAAACCGGAGCUAAUACCGGAUAAUAUUUUGAACCGCAUGGUUCAAACGUGAAAGACGGUCUUGCUUUCACUUAUAGAUGAAUCCGCGCUGCAUUAGCUAGUUGGUAAGGUAACGGCUUACCAAGGCAACGAUGCAUAGCCGACCUGAGAGGGUGAUCGGCCACACUGGAACUGAGACACGGUCCAGACUCCUACGGGAGGCAGCAGUAGGGAAUCUUCCGCGAUGGGCGAAAGCCUGACGGAGCAACGCCGCGUGAGUGAUGAAGGUCUUCGGAUCGUAAAACUCUGUUAUUAGGGAAGAACAUAUGUGUAAGUAACUGUGCACAUCUUGACGGUACCUAAUCAGAAAGCCACGGCUAACUACGUG